rnacentral:rRNA from 1 species
AUUUACACUUGAGUGAGUGGCGAACUGGUGAGUAACACGUGGGAAACCUGCCCAGGAGCGGGGGAUAACACCUGGAAACAGAUGCUAAUACCGCAUAACAACUUGGACCGCAUGGUCCGAGCUUGAAAGAUGGCUUCGGCUAUCACUUUUGGAUGGUCCCGCGGCGUAUUAGCUAGAUGGUGGGGUAACGGCUCACCAUGGCAAUGAUACGUAGCCGACCUGAGAGGGUAAUCGGCCACAUUGGGACUGAGACACGGCCCAAACUCCUACGGGAGGCAGCAGUAGGGAAUCUUCCACAAUGGACGAAAGUCUGAUGGAGCAACGCCGCGUGAGUGAAGAAGGGUUUCGGCUCGUAAAACUCUGUUGUUAAAGAAGAACAUAUCUGAGAGUAACUGUUCAGGUAUUGACGGUAUUUAACCAGAAAGCCACGGCUAACUACGUGCCAGCAGCCGCGGUAAUACGUAGGUGGCAAGCGUUGUCCGGAUUUAUUGGGCGUAAAGCGAGCGCAGGCGGUUUUUUAAGUCUGAUGUGAAAGCCUUCGGCUCAACCGAAGAAGUGCAUCGGAAACUGGGAAACUUGAGUGCAGAAGAGGACAGUGGAACUCCAUGUGUAGCGGUGAAAUGCGUAGAUAUAUGGAAGAACACCAGUGGCGAAGGCGGCUGUCUGGUCUGUAAACUGACGCUGAGGCUCGAAAGUAUGGGGUAGCAAACAGGAAUUAGAUACCCUGGUA